rnacentral:rRNA from 1 species
AUUGAACGCUGGCGGCAAGCCUAACACAUGCAAGUCGAACGAGUGGCGGACGGGUGAGUAAUGUCUGGGAAACUGCCUGAUGGAGGGGGAUAACUACUGGAAACGGUAGCUAAUACCGCAUACCCUCGGAUGUGCCCCGAUGGGAUUCGCUAGUAGGUGGGGUAAAGGCUCACCUAGGCGACGAUCCCUAGCUGGGCUGAGAGGAUGACCAGCCACACUGUAACGGAGACACGGUCCAGACUCCGACGGGAGGCAGCAGUGGGGAAUAUUGCACAAUGGGCGCAAUCCUGAUGCAGCCAUGCCGCGUGUAUGAAGAAGGCCUUCGGGUUGUAAAGUACUUUCAGCGGGGAGGCGUUACCCGCAGAAGAAGCACCGGCUAACUCCGUGCCAGCAGCCGCGGUAAUAC